rnacentral:rRNA from 1 species
AUACGUAGGUGGCAAGCGUUAUCCGGAUUUACUGGGCGUAAAGGGCGUGUAGGCGGUCUUGCAAGUCAGAAGUGAAAUUCCUGAGCUCAACUCGGGCGCUGCUUCUGAAACUGCAGGACUUGAGUGCUGGAGGGGAUAGCGGAAUUCCUAGUGGAGCGGUAAAAUGCGCAGAUAUUAGGAAGAACACCGGUGGCGAAGGCGGCUAUCUGGACAGUAACUGACGCUGAGGCGCGAAAGCGUGGGGAGCAAACAGGAUUAGAUACCCUGGUAGUCCACGCUGUAAACGAUGAUUACUAGGUGUUGGGGACCAAAGGUCCUCGGUGCCGCCGCAAACGCAUUAAGUAAUCCACCUGGGGAGUACGUUCGCAAGAAUGAAACUCAAAUGAAUUGACGGGG